UUUGGGGAGUUUAGGAAGUGGAGCAGCGCCCUCUUGAGGCCAUAAGACGGAGGUGCUGGGGAGGAGGUGCACCAAAGGUUUGCCGAAUCAAGCCAGGUAGCCAUUUACAAAGCCAAAGGACCAUCGGCUCCGUUUUUCUAAAAACUGGCCUCACCAUAGAAGGACAUGUAUCUUGGGACAGAGCUUCAGAAAAUCUUUGCGAGCUUUUGUUGUUGUUGGUGGUGCUUCCAGGUGGAGAAGUUUGGCCGAGGAAAGGAUUCAAAGUGAUCCCUCAGGGUCCUGUAUUCCAGACGUUUAUGGGUCUCCUUGAGCGCAAAGGGUCUCACACUCACUGAGUUUCUCUAAAGAGGCUGAUGGCAACUGCUCUUGGAGCCCAUCCUGACGACAUAGAUUUUGGCACAGCCCAGCUCUGCAGAAUACAUGUCUCAAUGGACAAGUUUGGGAAUCUGUACUGCUACCCUGUUCGCUAUUCGGUUUACCGGCAGACUUUAUAGAAGCGCUGCUGUGGCCUGCCUAGGACCCAGCCCUGACCGCUGUGGCCGUUAGGGACUUCUGCAGUCCAAUCUCCCAUCCGCACCCAGCUAACUGCUGCCUCUUUUUCUCACUUAGAAGAUUGAAGCCAUCUGUUGUGAGCUUCCUGCAUUUCCUGCCCCCACCCUCAGCAGUCUCCACAGUUCCCAGUCAGCCUCCUUCUCCUUUCUAAGAAAAUAAACAUCUUCCCAUGGCUGGAUUUCUACCCUC